rnacentral:rRNA from 1 species
UACGGGGGGGGCGAGCGUUGUUCGGAAUUAUUGGGCGUAAAGGGCGCGUAGGCGGUGUGGUAAGUCUGAUGUGAAAACUCCAGGCUCAACUUGGAGAUUGCAUCAGAAACUGCCGUGCUAGAGUGUGGGAGAGGAGAGUGGAAUUCCUGGUGUAGCGGUGAAAUGCGUAGAUAUCCGGAAGAACACCAGUGGCGAAGGCGGCCCGCUGGGCAGUGGCUGACGCUGAAGCGGCGGGCAGCGUGGGGAGCAAACAGGG